UCUCCGUCUCUCUCGGUUGCUGGGUACCGAGUUAACCUUCACAGUCACGUGUGCUUGACUGUACCUUCAGAACUCUGGACUCUAGGACCCCACCCCUCGCGUCCCCUCGUUCUGUUUCGGGGACAGACUUCUGCAGGUCAUGUCUCUCCAAUUCCAGGGUCUACAGCAGGAUGGAAGCUGGUUCCUCUCGUCCCCUUCCAGUUGUGGCAGCCUGGACCGCAAGACAAGGGCAUCAUGGGACCUGGAACUGCAUGGCACCCAAGGACCUUGACACCUGCCUCUUGCCAUCCACUCUGCAGCCCCUAACCACACAGCCUCUGUCCCUGCCAACCACUAAUAUGAUGUAACGUAUUAGCACCCUGUGGCCACCAUUACAGGGUGCCCAAACUGGGUGUCUUGUAAAAACAGGAAUUCAUUCUGUCAGAGUCCUAGUGUUGGUAGGGCCUUGCUCUUGCCAGAGCUUUGAGGGGAAGACCUGUCAUUGUGCCCACUGGUUCCUUCAUCUCCAU
rnacentral:lncRNA from 1 species